CGGUUCUCGUAUGAUCACCAAAGUUAAGCAACUUCGAGUCUGCACAGUAUCUAGAUGGGUAACCGCUUGGGAAUACCAGGUACUGUAAG